rnacentral:rRNA from 1 species
UUCCACAGCCUUAUCACCCUGCAGCCCGGUUACUCACUACAGCUAAGCAGGGUUGAGCCUGGUUACUACCUGGAUGGGAGAGACCACAUGGCAAAUCUAGGUUGCAGUUGGAA